UACGUAGGGUGCGAGCGUUAAUCGGAAUUACUGGGCGUAAAGCGUGCGCAGGCGGUUUUGUAAGGCAGAUGUGAAAUCCCCGAGCUUAACCUGGGAAUGGCAUUUGGGACUGCAAGGCUCGAGUGCGGCAGAGGAGACUGGAAUUCCUGGUGUAGCAGUGAAAUGCGUAGAUAUCAGGAGGAACACCGAUGGCGAAGGCAGGUCUCUGGGCUGACACUGACGCUCAUGCACGAAAGCGUGGGGAGCAAACAGG
rnacentral:rRNA from 1 species